UAACUCGUGCAAUCACACCACUCGGUCGCCAUACUACGGCCGGUAUAAAUACGAGCCCGCGAGUUCGGCUGAGGCGUAACACACGUCAACUUGUGCAGACAUAUUCUUCGUUUUUUCACCUCCGUUCCGCGAAAACCGACCGAAAACCGAAAAUGGGCGCUGAAAAGGUAUCCAUGAACAUCAUCAUCAUCGGACAAGUCCAUUCCGCCAAGGCCGUCAAGACAAACGUCAGCAAAGCCACCCCGGCCACCGGUCAAUCGAUAAACUGUUAAUGACUCGUGUAAUCAACACAUAAUCAGAAACUCAAAAAUGCCAUAGCCAAAACAAUACAAAACGUUGUAACUAUAUCAUAGUAGUGUACUACAUUAUGUAUUGACAUCGCAAAAAUAAAUCGGUUCAUACGUUUUCAACCUA